CAGCUCAGUUCAAACAACAACAAGAGGAAGAAACAGAAGCUAACGUGUUCGUGUUUAAGUGAUUCUAAUGAAUGAAUAUGAUGCUGAUGUUACCCUGCUGUCCAGUAGGGGUGAGAAUAAACCUAAACAUUGUGGAUAAACCAGCUUGAUUCAUACAUGAAGAAGCUAAUGUGUCGGUACUAAAGUGAAUCUGUAGUAUGAAGACAGACAUAUAGUCCAAAUGCAUGGGGCCCCUUUUGGAAUAUGGCAACCACGGACCUCUCCAGCUCCAGCUCAUAAAUCGCGCCAGUACUCGAACCACUUCCUGAACCGGCGAGGCUUCACACGUCAUCCGUGACGUCACUUGUUCUUAAAGAAGCAAGCCUCGAUACGCGCUUCACGAAAGACUUCCUAGAUUUCUCGACACACGCUCCGAAGCCUCGGCACAGUACGACCCAUCACUAAUUGUUAGCCCUGUUUAGUUUGUUAGUUUUGUUAGCUUUGUUAGCCCUGUUUAGUUUGUUAGACCUUAUUUAGCUUGUGUAGUCCCUGUUUAGCCUAGUUUAUCAUGUUUAGUUUGUCUAGUCCUGUUUAGUCUAGUCUGUCUUGUGUGCUUAGCUUGUGUUACUAGCCGUGUGCUUAGCCUGUGUUACUAGCCAUGUUCCUAGCUUAUGUUACUAGCCAUGUGCUUAGCUUGUGUUAGUAGCCAUGUGCUUAGCUUGUGUUACUAGCCGUGUGCUUAGCCUGUGUUACUAGCCGUGUGCUUAGCCUGUGUUACUAGCCGUGUGCUUAGCCUGUGUUACUAGCCGUGUGCUUAGCCUGUGUUACUAGCCGUGUGCUUAGCCUGUGUUACUAGCCAUGUUCCUAGCUUGUGUUACUAGCCAUGUGCUUAGCUUGUGUUACUAGCCAUGCGCUUAGGUUGUGUUACUAUGUAAAUAGCAUUUGUCUUCAUUAAUAAAUAUAACCUUGCGUUAGUUCACAUCUCUGCGUGUGUCCGCCCCUCUGUCUCGCCUAAGCCCCCCGUUCGUGACAAUAACUUAGUGUAUUCAUUUAAAACACAUUUUAUAAAAAUAUACAAAUGUGUAUUUUCACAAGUAUAUUAAAUGAAAAUUGUACUUUUAGUACUCUUUACCUCAAAAGAAUAUACUUUAAUUGCUCUUAAGUAUACUUCCUUUUCACGGGGGAUAUUUUUGUAUUAACAUUUACAUUUUCAGCAUUUAGCAGAGGCUUUUAUCCAAAGCGACUUACACAAUGAGCGGAACACAAUGAGCAAUUGGGGAUUAAGGGCCUUGCUUAGGGACCCAACAGUUGCAACUUAGUGGUGGCGGGGCUUGAACCGGCAACCUUCUGUUUACAAGUACAGUACCCUAACCACUAAGCUAUCACUGGUAUUAACAGUAUUAAUGAUUGAUGAUAGAAAAAUAUAAAAUUUAUGAUAGAAAACAAUUAAUAAAACAAUUAAUAAAAAUGUUAGAACAUUAUCAUAAAGGCACAAAAGUAAAACACACAUUAAACCAAAUGGAUGAAGAAGCUGGCAUAACAAUGUCUGUUUGUUUAUUAGGAUUUUUUACAAAAUGUUGUGAUGUGGUUAUUUUUUAUUUAUUUUUUUUUGCACACAUGCAUUUUUGCUCACACUUGUCCUGUUGUUUCCUCUUACAUUG